UUUCCGUAGGUGAACCUGCGGAAGGAUCAUUAUUGUAUAACCGAGGUGCGAGGGCCGUCGCUGACCCGAAAGGUCGUGCACGCCCGAGUGCCCUCACACACAUCCAUCUCACCCCUAUGUGCACCACCGCGCGGGUCCCCCUUUGGCUUGUUCGGAGGGGGGCUUACGUUUUCACACAAACUUUGUAUGCAGUGUAGAAUGUAUUUUUUGUUUUUGCGAUCACGCAAUCAAUACAACUUUCAACAACGGAUCUCUUGGCUCUC
rnacentral:misc_RNA from 1 species